rnacentral:lncRNA from 1 species
GGUGUAUUUAUCUCUAGUUAAUCAAUAUAUUGUCCAUUUUUUUUGACAAAGGUAUUUUUUGUUUUUAUGCAACUUGUAGUGUGUUUCUUGCAUUAUUUUGAAGUAAACUUCACAAAAUCACACAUUUUGUGGCUAGUAUUUCAAAGAACCACGGUCGUUGCUAAUCUUCUCACGGAACCACCACUUUUCGAACGGGUAUACUAAAUUAGGACACUUCGCAACGUUUCUGACACAUAGGCCCCUCAUGUUAUAUGACAUGUGGUCGGGCUGGGCCGUUUUCUUUGCCACAUUAGAUGCGGACCAAACAAUG